rnacentral:misc_RNA from 1 species
GCCGAAUUAAUAAAUGAUCAACUAUUGCAUAGCCAGAGGCAGUUAAUUACAUUCUAAUUUAACAAAUUAAACAGAUAGGUGAAGCUCCAGUCUGAUAUUAAGGAGACUGGCCAAGAACAAUAAGAUAAUGGUGAGCAGCUCCAAUCCAGAAAAUAGGAAGCUGAUACGUCACUAAUAAGCCCUAAAAACGGAUAACAUACCAACCACAAUGACAACAGUCACGCACCACCACCUUCUACGGCGAAGCCUGGAAGGUUCCACUAUUUCCCGCACGUUCAGCUCGGGUUUUCAGCCACUCCACCAUAUCCCCGAACGCUAAAUUCACGUUCUCUUCCUGCUCACAAACAAUCUGGUGCCACAUUCCCGAGUAAAUUUUUACCAGUGUAACAACCAUUUAAUGCAAAUUUUGUUCUCAUUAAAAUGACACACUCUAAGACAUUUAACAUCAUUUAUAGCCUUUCCAUUUAGUUUUAAAAUUUGUAUCAUCUCAAAGGAGUACUCAAUUCAAUCCAUUCUCUUAAAGAAGUAUAGACACUUCCAUGAAAGUGUUGAGUUUUAUUUAAUGGACACAUCCAACACGUCUAUAACACAUAUUACACACACUUAUAUGUCAAAUCUGCAUGAAAAUAUAAAAUGAAAUAUACCAGGAAUGGACAGGACAACGGAGAACAAAAGAAAAAUGCCAUGUAUGUCUUCAGUAUCAUUAAGAUUUUCACACAAAUCAGAAGUGAAAGCGUGGAAUUCUAACACAUUCAAAUGGAGUUGUGUUCAUUUUAUUGAAUAGAAGAAGCUAAACAAAUCUGUCCAAAUAGCAUUCAGUAACUAUCGCCACGAGCAAGAACAUUUAUGCUUUCAUCAUUCGUUCUUCCAUGCAAUUGUCUGCAAUCACAAACAUAAACGGCAGGAUGAGUCCCUUUGGUUUUACAUUCAAAUAAUAGUAAAAUAAUAAAAUGCUGAAGAUGCUGGAAAGUCUGUGCACAAACUCAUAGCUACGCAUUGUGCCACACACCAACAAGAGAAGGCGCGUAAAAGUAGAAGUGUUGGCCAACAAACUAAAUCUAACCAAGAAUUUAUAGUGCAGGUUCUAAUAGUUCAUCUUCAUUGAUUUUCUUAAUCCUUCAGUUCUCAUUCUUUUGUUCCAUUUCCCAAGAAUGGACGGAUUAGUACAUAUCACUCACUGCCAUCAAUUGACCAGAUAAACUAAGUGACCACAGCUGCUAUUCGCCAAAAUUAUCUUAAGUAGCUAAGAUAUCAUCAACUUUGAUGCCAGCCACCAAAAUGUCUACUCUAGCGCUGAAAUUUGAAGGAAUAGAGUUACAGUUGAUGUACAAAAGAAGAAAGAGGAAAAGAAAAUGUAAUUAACAUUGAUUUCUUGACCAACUUCCAUACCAUUAAGUCCUCAAUAUCAAUAAACAUCUUAGGCUUGAACAGAAUAAGAUAUCAGGACACUGGCAAUAUCUUAUUAAGUAUAUGAGAAUGCUUUUUCCUAUAAUCAAUAUCAUAGAAACAUUAAUCCUCAUUAUCCAAAAGCAUAUUAAAGGGGGCUUAAAUAAUCUCACUCAAUGAACCCAAGAAGUUCAGCACUUCCCUAUAAAAACCAAGUCCUGAUUAGAAAGUAAGCUUUCAAAGACAAUCUUCUAUGAUGGAAUAAACCCAAAUACAAACAAUUAAAAGUCUGUUCUCUACAUACAAAAAAUACUUUACAUGUUAAGCCAUUUAAAAGUCUACCUAUAUAUGGCAUCAUAGUCCAUAUGUACGACCAGAAACAUACAUAAAAAACAAAUACGUUUGGGAAGACCUAUCUACUUCAUCCAACCUCAUUCUUUGAACUACAACAAUUCACAUCUACAAAAAAAGAUAGCUACAGUAGUUCAAGACAUCAUUUAUCCAAUAGUAGCAAGAAAAAGUACCUAGUGUCCAUGGCCAUGGCCAUGGUCAUCAUGGCCAUCCCAAGGAUGCCUCCAACCCAAUACUACAGGACCAUCUUGCUUAGCCCUGUACAGGACCCAAAACCACAUGACAGCACACAAGCCCUUCCCUGUAACAGUAUGCCAUCGCUUUGGCUGAUGCAAAGUCAAGCCCUUGUAAGUGUAGCCCUCUCCAUGUCCUCCUGCCAUCCCUCUGCGCGAAAACCCAAUACUAAAAUGAUCGAACGGCCUAUGAGGUAAGCUCUUUGUUUCGACGGAGUAAUUUCUCUACGCAC